GCGCCUGUAGCUCAGUGGAUAGAGCAUCGGUCUUCGGAACCGAGGGUCACAGGUUCGAAUCCUGUCAGGCGCGCCA
rnacentral:tRNA from 1 species